rnacentral:rRNA from 1 species
AGUCUGACCGAGCACGCCCGUGAGCGAUGAAGGCCUUCGGGUCGUAAAGCUCUGUUGUCAGAGAAGAACAAGUACCGGAUAACUGCCGGUACCUUGACGGUACCUGACCAGAAAGCCACGGCAAACUACGUGCCAGCACCCGCGGUAAUACGUAAGUGGCAAGCGUUAUCCGGAAUUAUUGGGCGUAAAGCGCCCCCAGGCCUUUCUUUAAAUCUGAUGUGAAAGCCCACCCCUCAUCCGUGGACGGUCAUUGAAGGCUGUCGAACUUGAUGGCACUAAAACAAAGUCCAAAUCCUUAUGUAGCGGUGCAGUGCGGAAACUUCUGAAAUAGGCGACGGUAU